rnacentral:lncRNA from 11 species
UCCAGGUGUUUUAGUUCAAACAUUCAACUCAUGAGAUCAUACUCUCUUUGGUAGUGCCAUAUAGGCCAAAGUGAGAUGAUAAGACAAUCAAUCAGCUGGUCAUGCAGAUGUAUUGCUCUGUGACUGGUCACAAUUCUUCAAAAGUCACUACUAUUGCAUGGCAUCUGCAUGCACAAGGGCACAUUAUGUUCAACUCUGCUUCCACAUCCUUCAGUUCUGCAUAUUCAAAUAUUCUGUUUCUGGCAAAAAUUUCAACUCACUUCCAUAAGGAAAAUUACACAAACCUAAGAUGUCAACAAGUUACAG